CACGAGUUCACCGAUGCUCCACCU
rnacentral:siRNA from 1 species